rnacentral:misc_RNA from 1 species
GAUGAAGAACGUAGCGAAAUGCGAUAAGUAAUGUGAAUUGCAGAAUUCAGUGAAUCAUCGAAUCUUUGAACGCACAUUGCGCCCGCCAGUAUUCUGGCGGGCAUGCCUGUUCGAGCGUCAUUUCCACCAUCAGGCCCCCGGGCCUGUGUUGGGGACCUGCGGCUGCCCGCAGGCCCCGAAAUUCAGUGGCGGUCGCGCCGUAGCAACCGAGCGUAGUAACUAAAACGUCUCGCUCUGGCUCGCUGGGCGCGCUCCGGCCGUAAAACACCCCCCCUUUUCGCAAAGGUUGACCUCGGAUCAGGUAGGAAUACCCGCCGAACUUAAGCAUAUCAAUAAGCGGAGGA